ensembl:lncRNA
CUGAAAACCUGUCUCACUAUGUCAAGUGUAUGUGUGGGGGGCUGAAAACCUGUCUCACUAUGUCAAGUGGAUGUGAGCUGAAAACCUGUCUCACUAUGUCAAGUGUAUGUGUGGAUGUGAGCUGAAAACCUGUCUCACUAUGUCAAGUGUAUGUGUGGGGGGCUGAAAACCUGUCUCACUAUGUCAAGUGUAUGUGUGGGGGGCUGAAAACCUGUCUCACUAUGUCAAGUGUAUGUGUGUGUGGGGGGCGGGGUGGCAGGUCACACCAUUGCUCCAUCUGAGAGAUAAAACAUCUCUCAAUUCUGUGUCUCUUUUUUCAAUGAAUGUUUACACUUUACAGCAAUUGUACUUGGGUGUACCACGAGAGGUCUACUAGUUUUAUGGCUACCAUACAUUUUAAAUGAUGUUUGCAAAAUAAGCUAAGGAGACUGGUAUGGGGAUUGUUUGAGCAGAAGAGUCUAGAUGAAACAGCACAUCAUGAGAGUGAGGGACUGAGAUCGCUUGAUUCACCUUAUCUGCUUUCUCCAGAUGAUGACACCUGUUUCUCCUCCAUCAAAGGGCAACACAAAAUGUUUUGGCAGGAAACAGAAACAGCAGACGGCCUCAAAAUUAAGUUCACAUAUAAAAUAAAAAACAUUUUGUUUAUAACUCGGUGACGACUGGUAAAAACGAGGUCAUCAACAAUCAUUCGUUGAAGCAAGCAUGUCUUUGUUUAGUGGUAACCACUUUCUUUUUGAAUUCUGUUCCUCCUUUGUGUUCUUCAAAUGUCUUUCUCUCUUGUCAUUCCCCCCCCCCCCCUCUUUGGUCUUGUUGGUGAAUACAAUCCAGUUGCUUUGAUGGCAUGAGUGCUCCAGUCCCACAGAAAUAGAUCUGAACUAGCUACUACUAUCUUGCCCUUUGGGAGAAGGAAGAGAACACUGACAUAGCUCGGAUCUUCUCCAAAUUUCCCCUCAGUGCUUUGAAGGACAAGUUACAAUUCAAAGACGAGUUGGGCAGAACCCAGAUGAUGUAACACACUCACAUACACAGCGAGUCCCAAAGCCACAUUUUCAACAUCUAGAAUUCUUUGUGCCCUUCGCACCCUUUGUUGGCAUUAGGUGCACACACACACACACACACACACGGCCCCUUCUGUGAUCAAGACCUUCAAAUCCACUGCGUAUCCAAGGCAAAGGGAAGAAGAGUGACCCAAAAUAAGGAUUUGCCAGAGCUUUGAUGAGUGAGUGCAUUUCAGCAUUCUGGACAUGUGGAUCUCUUUUCAUUCCCAAUUCAUUCCCAACAUGCUCCCUCUGGGGGUGUUUUGUGGCGUUGCAAGUCGACUUGAAGGACCAUUGUGAUGCAUCCGUGUCCCGUAUCCCUCGUCAUUUGUUUGAAUCUCACCAUGAAAGAAAUUGUGCUGAGACUGAUAUUGUUGUUGAAUAAAUGUUGGCAUAUUUUUUUUUGCCAGAAGGAACACAAACGUUUUGGGUGUGUGCAAUAUAGCGUCGCAGUUAGAUAGUGGGCUGUAUCCCUUUAAAUGUGUCGAAUUUUUCUCUUCAAAGUAGGUAUGACAACUAAAUAAAGCAACAAUUUCUACAUUGUAUAUUUGAGUAGCUUGUUAAAUCAUCCGUUUUAUUUUAUUCAUGUAUUUAUUUUGCAGUUCAGUAACUGUAUAUACACCAUAAAUAGGCACUGACAUGUAGGAUAAAACAGACACGCAAGAGCUACUAAGUAGAAAGUUGAAACACAUUGUAAUACAUUUCACUGUGUUCUAUUUAAGAAGACAACCUUCAAAACAUUAGAGAAGGUAGCAAUCACAAUACUAAGAUUGAAGAGUUAAACCCCAUCUCUGUAAAAGGCAGGACAUGCUGUAACCCUUCUUUUCCCAUAGCAUGCAAAUAAGAUCAAUCAUUUAUUUUGUUGAAACACACUAAAA